rnacentral:lncRNA from 1 species
UGCUGACACGUGUCGAUGACUCAGCAACUCAUUCGCCGCCAUUGAGCCCUCGCGGGCCGCGUAAAACCUUUCCUAUCUCUUACGCGGGCCGCGUAAAACGGAGAAUCAGGCCCUAUAAAUAGAGACCUUCGGCCGUUCAUUUGAAAUCGCACCAAAAUUCUUUCUCUCUCGAAUUUCUGAAGAAUUAAAGUAAUUCUCGGGUAUUAUACCCCCUAAUUAGUGAAGCUCUGUCUCGUUAUUAUAACCAGGAAGCCACAAAGGAAAUACCUAAAAUAGCAAUGUGAGUAAUCUCCUUUUUGUUAACAGUUUUUACAAAACCUUAACCUUUUUACAAUGCAAUUUAGCAGUAACUUAGUAUGAAGAACAUAAAAGCCAGCUGGAGAGCACUGAAGGCUUAGAAAAGUGGCUAUAAAAGUUACCUAAAUAAAAGAAAGUGUUU